rfam:Ictidomys tridecemlineatus contig021386, whole genome shotgun sequence.
GGGGUUGUGGCUCAGUGGUAGAGUGCUUGCCUAGCCUGUGCAAGAUCCUGGGUUCUAUUCUCAGCACCA